CCUUUGACGUUAGCGGCGGACGGGUGAGUAACACGUGGGUAACCUACCUAUAAGACUGGAAUAACUCCGGGAAACCGGGGCUAAUGCCGGAUAACAUUUAGAACCGCAUGGUUCUAAAGUGAAAGAUGGUUUUGCUAUCACUUAUAGAUGGACCCGCGCCGUAUUAGCUAGUUGGUAAGGUAACGGCUUACCAAGGCAACGAUACGUAGCCGACCUGAGAGGGUGAUCGGCCACACUGGAACUGAGACACGGUCCAGACUCCUACGGGAGGCAGCAGUAGGGAAUCUUCCGCAAUGGGCGAAAGCCUGACGGAGCAACGCCGCGUGAGUGAUGAAGGUCUUCGGAUCGUAAAACUCUGUUAUUAGGGAAGAACAAAUGUGUAAGUAACUAUGCACGUCUUGACGGUACCUAAUCAGAAAGCCACGGCUAACUACGUGCCAGCAGCCGCGGUAAUACGUAGGUGGCAAGCGUUAUCCGGAAUUAUUGGGCGUAAAGCGCGCGU
rnacentral:rRNA from 1 species